GUGAGCCCCAUUCAGGAUGUAUCUCACCCGAUAUCUGCAGCAAUUGGAGAGACCCCAAAAGUUCCUCACCAAAAGGAUAAAGGGACUCCAAAAUCUGUCAUAUGCUGCCAGAUUGAAGAAACUCCAGCUCUAUUCAGUCGCAUACCGUCUGCU